rnacentral:rRNA from 1 species
AUUGAACGCUGGCGGCAGGCCUAACACAUGCAAGUCGAGCGGAGCGGCGGACGGGUGAGUAAUGCCUAGGAAUCUGCCUGGUAGUGGGGGAUAACGUCCGCAAACGGGCGCUAAUACCGCAUACUAUCAGAUGAGCCUAGGUCGGAUUAGCUAGUUGGUGGGUUAAGGGCCUACCAAGGCGACGAUCCGUAACUGGUCUGAGAGGCUGAUCAGUCACACGGGAACGGAGACACGGUCCAGCCUCCUACGGGAGGCAGCAGUGGGGAAGAGUGGAAAAUGGGCGAAAGCCUGAUCCAGCCAUGCCGCGGGUGUGAAGAAGGUCUUCGGACUGUAAAGCACUUUAAGUUGGGAGGCGUUACCAACAGAAUAAGCACCGGCUAACUUUGUGCCAGCAGCCGCGGUAAUUC